AUUAAGGCAAAAAUUGCAUAUUGCCUUCUUGCGUACACGUGUCUCUGUCUGACAAGUUGACUGCUUGAUUUUGACAUUCGGAAUCCCAUCUUGCAUUCUUACAUGUACAUGCCUUUAUUUGAUAUUCAGUUUGAUUUGAUUUUGCCUGCUUCAUAUAUUCGUCUCGCUUUCGGACAUGCUGUAAUCUGAUAUACUACUUCAUCAUACUGACUAGUGGUUCCGUACAUCUUGCCUUUUCGGACCGUCAAUGGUGUAUACUUAUUGACGAAGAUAACAUCUAGCUAUCGGACAUGAUGUAAUCUGAUAUACUACUUCAUCCUACUCAACUAGUGGUUACUUACAUCGUGCCUUCUUGGAGCGUCAAUGGUGUAUACUUCUUAGUGAAAACAACUUAAGAAGUUUCUUAACUAUGUGAUUGCAAGGAGCUGGGUUAUGAAAUAAUUUCAGUGCAUUCUUAAAUUCUUGUUCAGGUGGAGAUAACCCUUUCUACGGAAACACACGAACUGUACCGAGAGUGUUAAGACUACACGUCCGGUAACAGCACUAAACACCAUAUAUUCCUAUUUGAAUCCAAGUAAAAUGAGUAUAUUUUUCGAGACUCUACCUUUAAUCGGAUAUAUAAAUAGCGCGCUAUAAAUAGCCUACAGAACAGAAUUAUGUCAUCACCUGAGUACUAGUCGAAAUAAUUACACGUUCAUACAUGUAUUGUUUUAUAUUUGUGACGCUGACGGGCAAUCUAAAUGGGGAUAUUGCCCAUAUGAAAAAAUAUCACAAUAUUUCCUGGGAUCGCGUCAAAUUAGUUGGACUACUGUUGCUUAUUCAAAGGAGACAUGAUAUCUAACAUUUUGAGAAAUAGCACUGUGGUCAGCAUUUGUCUCACGUGAACUGUGGAGACAUUUGGAUACUGUACCUGAAUGUUCAUCACAAAGUGCUGGUGUUUUGAUAUCUACAAGAGCAGACGGCAACAGAAUUGGAGAUUACCCAAAUCUAAAGAGGAGUACAAGAAACAACAAAAAAGCUAUGAAAAACAAAUGAAAUAAAAACAACGUGAAAUUAUAUUGAAUCAUGGCCCUGGGUUCCAGACCGUUCGACAACAACGAAAAAAAAUUAUUUUUUUUAGCUCACCAUAGCACAAACUGCUUAAGGUGAGCUAUUGUGAGUGACCGGCGUCCGUCGACGUGCGUCUUGCGUAAACAUUUGCCUUGUGAACACUCUAGAGGCCACAUUUAUGACCCAAUCUUUAUGAAACUUGGUCAGAAUGUUAGUCAUGAUGAUCUCUAGGUCAAGUUUGAAAGUGGGUUAUGUGGGGUCAAAAACAAUGUCAGUAGGUUAGAUCAAAGAAAAUGCCUGUGAACACUCUAGAGACCACAUUUUUGACCCAAUCUUUAUAAAAAUUUGUCAGAAUGUUAGAAUGUUAGUCUUGAUAAUCUCUAGGUCAAGUUUGAUAUUGGGUCAUGUGGAGUUAAAACCUAGGUCAGUAGGUUAGAUCAAAUAAAACGCUUGUUAACACUCUAGAGACCACAUUUUUAACCCAAUCUUUAUAAAACUUGGUCAGAAUGUUAGUCUUGAUGAUCUCUAGGUCAGUUUCGAAACUGGGUCAUGUUGGAUCAUAAACUAGGUCACCUGGUCAAAUCAAAUGAAAAGUUUGUAAACACUCUAAAGGCCACAGUUGUGUACCAAUAUUUAUGAAACAUAGUCAGAAAAUUUGACUUGAUGAUUUCUAGGUCAAAUUUGAAUCUAGGUCAUGUGGGGUCAAAAACUAUAAACGACAGUGUCUACUUGCAGUAGGGAGCACAAUGCCUAACUUUAUAGUGCUGCCUCACCCCACCCAGUCACAUUAUACUGACACCGGGCUGACCAGUCCCAUCACUAUCCUCUUAAUGCUGAACGUCAAGCAAAGAAGCUUCUAGUACCAUUUUUACGUCUUUGGUAUGACGCGGCCGGGGAUUGAACCCACGACCUCCCGCACUCAAAGCGGACGCUCUACCACUAGGCUACCGAGGCGGUAGGCCACAGUUGUAACUCAAUCUUUAUGAAACUGGGUCGAAUGUUUGUCUUAAUCAUUUCUAGGUCAAGGUCGAAUCUGGGUCAUGUGGGGUCAAAAACUAGGUCACCCGGUCAAAUCAAAGGAAAAGCUUGUGAAAUCUCUAGAGGCCACAGUUGUAACCAGAUCUUAAUGAAAUUUAAUCAAUAUGUUUGUGACGAUCUUUAGGUCAAGUUCAACUCUUGUCAUGUGGGGUCAAAAACUAGGUCAGUAGGCCAGAUAAACUCUUUUGAGCGAUAUGUAGGGUCAUGGCCCUCUUGUUUUUGCUAGAUAUCUGGAAAUUAAUGCUAUGUUUCUGAAGAAUGCUUUGAAACUUAAUUCUGACAGACUAUCAUGAAAACAUGUGAGAAAUAGUUGUUUUUACUAAUUUUACGAUGAAAAUCGAAAAGCGUUUGUUACGCUUUACUCGAGGUAAAGAAAAGUAUUUAUGGAGGUCAGUGCCUUCAAUUUUAUAAAAGACAAUUCAACACACAUUUCUGUCGAGAUCUAACUUUAUGUGAUGGACCUUUUUAUCUCGGACAAAGUAUAUGAUACGCGAAAACGGUUCGGCAAUGUUGCUUAAAUGAGCAUGCAUAUCUUUAACAGUCUGCAAAUAAAAGAUAGAUUUUAAGAAGUUAUUCAUUUAUAUCAUACUGUAUAAUAAUAGAUUUAUGCUAUGUCAUUUUCAAAGAGAAUUUAUAUGUGUUUCCUUUUAUUUGUUAACUAUCUGUUUGUGUUGGCAUAAUAAACAAUUAUGAAUAUAAAAAUAUAAAAAUGA